UACAGAGGUCCCAAGCGUUGUUCGGAUUCACUGGGCGUAAAGGGUGCGUAGGUGGUGGGGUAAGUCGGAUGUGAAAGCUCGGAGCUCAACUCCGAAAUGGCAUUGGAAACUACCCUGCUUGAGGGUCGGAGGGGGGGACUGGAAUUCUCGGUGGUAGCAGUGGAAAUGCGUAGAUAUCGAGAGGAACACCAGUGGCGAAGGCGGGUCUCUGGGCAGUAACUGACGCUGGAGGAGCGAAAGC
rnacentral:rRNA from 1 species